ACGUUUUGCUGGAGUGGGCUGGAGAGAGGUAAAAAUAAAUCGUUAGGUCCAGAUAUACCCCCACUGUAUGACGUCAGCCUCGACAUCACCCCGGGUACCCUGCUUGGCGUCGUCGGACUCGUAGGAAGCGGAAAGUCUGCGCUGCUGGCGGCCAUACUGGGUGAGCUGCGGCGGCUUCGUGGAACCGCGCACGUUGGGGUAGGGAUGGCGUACCUACCGCAGACGGCCUGCAUCUUCAACAUGUCCAUCCGUGACAACGUGCUUUUCGGAAGGCCCAUGGAACCAUACCGAUACCACUGUGUGCUCGAAGCGUGCGACCUGACUUCGAGACCUCGAGCUCCUACCGGCCGGUGACCUCACCGAAGUGGGAGAGAAGGGAGAUACGCUAAGUGGAGGGCAGAAGCAGCGGGUGGCUCUGGCGCGAGCCGUGUACAGUGACAGCGACAUCUACCUCAUAGACGACACCCUCAGUGCUUUGGAUGUGCAUGUAGCUGCGGAGGUGUUUGCACGGGUGAUCGGACCCGAGGGCCUUCUUAG